UAUCGUAGUGGAAUGAAACAUCAUUACAUCAAAAUUCAAAUAAGUCAUCUCAAUAGACCUCCAAAAAAAAAAUACAUCUCCAAAUAGCCAUGUCAUAAUACUACACAUAUCAUCGCCAAUACAUAGUCUUAAAAAUAUCCAACAGACAUAAUAAAAACAAUCCUCAAGACCGACCCCUAAUCAGAGCUCUAAGUCUACGACACUGAAAGUAGUAAAACGAGGUAGCAUUCAAGAUAUCUUCAAGCAACUCACCAAAGUAAAGCAAAACAAAUUAUUCCUGCACACUGUCUACCCAUCCGUACAGAUAAGGAAGGCGGUGAACCGAACGACCACUAGGGGUUAGUCACAUCUCAUAAUUAAAGCAUAAUCAAACAUAAACAUUCAAGGAUUGCAUGCAUAGUACAUAUACAUACUCAACAUUCCUAGAAUACUACCAUCACAUAUAUAUUAUCCCCAGUUCGACAUUAAUCAGGUUAUCAUACUUCUAUCAUAGCAUAUCAAGCAUAUUCACCCUUUAAUCAAAUCAUCAACAAGGCACAUCACUUAACAACAUCAAUCAUUAUAAGAAUAUCUUACCUCAUUCCCUAUUCAAUUUAAUCAUCAAACUAUACCAACUUAUCAUUUAGGAGGUAUAAGCAUUCAUGCAACUUUAUUCAUUUUACAAAAAGCACAUAUUUUCCCUAAUGCAUACAAUUCAUCUAAUUCACAUAAAAUUCUGCCUAAUCAACUCAACAAAUACAAUUCAUCAUUUUAAAAUGUAGGCAAAGAAAUCAUCAUUAUCAAAGGAAUCACCAAAUCAUAUAUAUAUAUAUAUAUAUAUAUAUAUAUAUAUAUGUAUAAUUCUCACCUCAUUACUAUUAACAACAUAAUUAUCAUUAAAUAGAUUCACCAACUAAGCACAAGCAAGUAAGACAUACAAUUGGAGUCUUGAUUCAAUUAUUCACAACCAUCAACAAAAUCCACCAAUGCACAUAUACACCAAUUCACAUAAUCACAAUAUUCACAAAUGCACAGAUUCACCAAGUCACAUAUUCAAUUAUGACAUGACUCACCAAAUAAUAAAUGCAUGCAAUGUUCUAAACUCUUCUAGAUGCAUGUGGUACCAUUGGAUUCCGGAGAUAAUUUUACCCUUAAUGAAUCCACUAACAUAAUAAAUAUCACCAAUUAUGUUCUGUAGAAGCUAUGUAAUAAACACCACCAAUUACAUUCUUCAAAUCACCUCAAUAUGACUAUGAAUGCAAGGACUUCAAGUAAGGACUCGACAAUGCAUAACUCACCAACGUAAACAUUAACAUAAUAAUCACCACCAAUUAUGUUAUUCACCAACAGUUGCAUUAUCAAAUACUUACAUCCAUACAAACAACAAGUCAUCAUCAAUUCAUUUAUUUAUAAUCGCCCAAAAGAAUCAACACCAUAAUCAUCAUCUGACACCUCAAAUAAACGAUAAAGUUUCAAAUUCACAUUUAACAUAAAAACAGACAUUUAGACACAUCUUGACAUCUAUCGAAUUAAACACCAAAUUCUUAACAAUUCAUUCACCUUAAAUCUUACUAACAUGAAUUCAAAGUCUCAUACUAGUUAUCCGACCAUAAAACAUUAGUUUGAUAAAGUUCGUCUAAGUUUAUGAAAACAAACAUUUUUCGAUAAAUUCUCCAAAACCAAAGUAAAAAAAUCCAAACGCCUCAACCGAGUAUACACACUAAUCACAUAUGAGUGCAGUAGCAUAUACGUAUACGUUUCAUAGGCUAAUUCCGACAAAUACCAAAAUUCAUUUAAGUACGUAUCGUUUAUCAUUUUGCAAAACCAAUUCAUUUUUAAAACGAAACCAAGUUAGAUCUAUCAUUCCAUAGGUUAAAUACUCUUAAACAUCCUAAUUAAACUCCUAUUAAUCAAGUUUUAGGGUUUGGGACCAAACCAUAGCUUUUGGGUUCACUUAGAAAUAGUUAUGUUGAAUUUUCGUAAAAUUGCACAAAGACCUACUUGGAGUAUUUUCAUCAUAACUCAAAAUCUAAAAAUAAUUUUUAAGUCAAACCAAAUCCAUUAGAAAUAUAACAUCUUUAUAUAAAACUUUCAUGUUUACAGAAAAAGCCAGUUCAAAACAGAAAAGGGUGAAAACGGCUCCAAAAACGUAAAAAGUGGAGUUGGCUGAAGUUUCACACACGGUCGUGUCUUUUAAAACCUUCAUGUUUUCGCACUUAGAAUUCAAAUCGUUAAUCCGUUUUCAAUUCCGUUUUCGCCUACGUGCUCCUUACACUUAGCUCUAUCAUAUUUAAAAUAAAAUUAAUGUUUAUCCCAUCCCAAAAUAGCUUACUAAAAAUCACAUAUAACCAAUUGUUUUCCAAAAUCAAUUAAGCUAACUUUUCAAACAAAAACCCAAGUUUCUUCCCAAAAACUUUCACAAACAAAACCUAAAACCAAAAUAAGAAGUUCAUCUAACCUAUCUCGAUACAAAAACAUAUAAUUCACCUCAAAUCAUCAAGAAUCAUAAUUCACCCUUAAUGAUCCAUUUUCUUCAAAACUCAUUAAAUCAACAACAACUUAACCAUAACUUCACAAUUAGCAAUACCCAAGGUAUAAAUUGUCAUCAACAACACAACAUAACAUCAAUCAAAGCAUAAUCUCAUAAUUUCAUCAACAAUCAACAACAACUUCAUUUUUACCUAUUUAAGCAAAAAUCAUCAAAACAACUUAUCAACAACAACAACCAUGAAUUUUAAGCACAUAAUACAUCAAUUUUAUGAAGUUUAUCAUACCCUUAAAUUCACAUAAAUUAAGAGCACGAAUUUCAUCAUUUAAAAACAUAAAAAGUCACAAUUAUUACAAAAGCACUUAAACCCAUAAGUGAAAAUACUAGAUUAUGACUUAAUUAUGAAAGAGCACUACCCCCCUUACCUCUAAUCUACAAGAAUCCAAUUCCUAGCUUCAAUUAAGCUUCUAGCCACCAAUCCCAAGCUUUCUCUCUCUGGCUCUUCUUUUCUCCUCUAGAUCCCCUUUUUAUCUCUCAAAAUGUUUUGUAAAAGUGAG
rnacentral:lncRNA from 1 species